CGGCGGACGGGUGAGUAACGCGUGGGUAACCUACCCUGUACACACGGAUAACAUACCGAAAGGUAUGCUAAUACAGGAUAAUAUAUUUGAGAGGCAUCUCUUGAAUAUCAAAGGUGAGCCAGUACAGGAUGGACCCGCGUCUGAUUAGCUAGUUGGUAAGGUAACGGCUUACCAAGGCGACGAUCAGUAGCCGACCUGAGAGGGUGAUCGGCCACAUUGGAACUGAGACACGGUCCAA
rnacentral:rRNA from 1 species